AACGAACGCUGGCGGCAUGCCUAACACAUGCAAGUCGAACGAAGGCUUCGGCCUUAGUGGCGCACGGGUGCGUAACGCGUGGGAAUCUGCCCUUUGGUUCGGAAUAACAGCUGGAAACGGCUGCUAAUACCGGAUGAUGACGAAAGUCCAAAGAUUUAUCGCCAGAGGAUGAGCCCGCGUUGGAUUAGGUAGUUGGUGGGGUAAAGGCCUACCAAGCCGACGAUCCAUAGCUGGUCUGAGAGGAUGAUCAGCCACACUGGGACUGAGACACGGCCCAGACUCCUACGGGAGGCAGCAGUGGGGAAUAUUGGACAAUGGGCGCAAGCCUGAUCCAGCAAUGCCGGGUGAGUGAUGAAGGCCCUAGGGUUGUAAAGCUCUUUUACCCGGGAAGAUAAUGACUGUACCGGGAGAAUAAGCCCCGGCUAACUCCGUG
rnacentral:rRNA from 1 species